rnacentral:rRNA from 1 species
UACGUAGGGUGCGAGCGUUAAUCGGAAUUACUGGGCGUAAAGCGUGCGCAGGCGGUUUUGUAAGCCAGAUAGUGAAAUCCCCGGGCUCAACCUGGGAAUGGCAUUUGGGACUGCAAGGCUGGAGUGCGGCAGAGGAGACUGGAAUUCCUGGUGUAGCAGUGAAAUGCGUAGAUAUCAGGAGGAAUACCGAUGGCGAAGGCAGGUCUCUGGGCUGACACUGACGCUCAUGCACGAAAGCGU